rnacentral:tRNA from 1 species
GGUUCUAUGGUGUAAUGGUGAGCACUCUGGACUCUGAAUCCAUGGAAGAAUUGUAAUUAAAAACAUAGUACUA